GAUGAACGCUAGCGGCAGGCCUAACACAUGCAAGUCGAGGGGUAACGGGGUGCUUGCACCGCCGACGACCGGCGCACGGGUGAGCAACGCGUAUAGAACCUACCCGUUACAGGGGGAUAGCCCAGAGAAAUUUGGAUCAAUACCCCGUGGGGCCCUUGACCGGCAUCGGUCUUGGGCUAAAGAACUUCGGUAACGGAUGGCUAUGCGUCCCAUUAGCUAGUUGGCAGGGUAACGGCCUACCAAGGCAGCGAUGGGUAGGGGCCCUGAGAGGGGGAUCCCCCACACUGGUACUGAGACACGGACCAG
rnacentral:rRNA from 1 species